rnacentral:lncRNA from 1 species
AGCCAAUACACACAUGAUCAGGUAUUCUGAUUAAGCUUGCCUCUGUUUCUUCUUUUCAGAGUUGUUUAAAAUACACAAGCAAGGAUAAAUGAGGAAAUCUGUAGAGACUCAAGGAGUAGACAGCUUUCUUUAGAAACAAUCUGAAUGCAACCUUUGGUUCAGUGGAAGCACUUAAGAAGAUGUCUUUAGAUUUCUCUGGAAGACUACGUCAAAACUUGCUCAAUUAAUUUUUAAUCGUGCCUCACAAAGAGGAACAGCCUGAAGAGGAGGAAUUGUCUUCGGAACAUUCUACUGUUUUGAGUAUUUAACUAACAUCAGUGUUUAAAGUCCCUCAACCACUGCAGAUAUUUGAAGUUGUUGCUCACACUUCCUCAGGAUCCUUGACAAAGAGGGCACAUCACUGUGUGAGCAGCCCAGCACCUGAUUUGUGUCCAAGACUAUGCGGAGUUGACAACGGAGUCUGUCUUCUCCCUUUGUUGCUUGAGGAACUCAAGUUGCAAGUUUUCUUAGCCCAUGUACAAUAUGUUCUUGCUAGCUCCCAAGUGCCCCAGAAAAUAUGGCAAUGGCUGAUUUUUUUCCAAGGUGAAGUCCCUCACAAGAGCAAAGGGG